rnacentral:lncRNA from 1 species
AAUUUUUCAAAUUCAAGGUAAGGGAAGGGGCAAUAAGGCAAAGCAAAGAAAUUAAAAAAAGAAAUGACACUAAAGAAAUCAGUAUUAUGAAUGAAUUAAACACAUUAAUGAAGAAAGAUGCUCUAUCAGAUGAUGAAGAAAUUAAAUUGAAAAGACUAAAGGAAGAAAUAGAUAAGGCAUAUAUUAACAUGGCUAAAGGGGCUUUUAUAAGGUCCAAAGCAAAAUGGCUAGAACUAUAUGGAAGAAAUCAUCAGAAUCCAACUAUUUUUAGACAUUGAAUUUAUAACACUGAAUUUUUAUCCUCCAAAUUUCCCUGCAAAAAUAUUCACCUGCAAAAAUUCACCUGCAAAAAAUUCAACUGCAAAAAUUCACCUGCAAAAAUUCACCUGCAAAAAUUCACCUGCAAAAUUUCAACUGCAAAAGUGAUGAACUUAAAUGACCCAAGCCAGAGCAAUCAGCACAAGAUCGAGUCGAGCGGCUCUCAGACAAUUAAAUUAUGCUGUUUGAUCACAUGACACCGUUAGCCAGCAGUGUGUCUCCUGAAAAGAGAGCUGUUUAGAGGUGAGUGAUUAAGUUUUUCUCCUAAAUAGGGAUCAUUACAGAACGCCUAGUCCUACUUAAAAUCCCAUUCAUUUUUCUUUUAUUUUAUCAUCUACUCGAACUGAGGAAAACGUUUGACUAACUCAAAGAAAAUUUCCGCGCCUCCCCUGCCUGUCUGCAGAGGCAGUUUUGAAUUUAGGAGCGGCAAGAUGGCAGCGGCAAACCCUGGCGGUUCUCCGAUUAUGCAAGAUGAAAUUAUUCAGUCAGCAAGACACUUGCUGCAGUUGCUGACAUCAUCCAACCGAACUGCUGCUGUGAUGAAUCAGAAUACAAGGUUUACUUUAGCAAGACUUAUGACUUAAUGCUACAUGUAACUAAAUUGUUAUAUAUAUAUUUAUUUAUUUGUCCAAUAUUGUCUCUAUAUGAUUUUGUUUUUUGCAACAUCUUGCAGAGAACAGAGUCAAGGUGGCCAGGGUACCAGCUCGGUCAACCCUGAAAGACCAUCCGUUCAGCAAGAAAUGACCAGGUCUUUUCCUGGUAUUUUCUCAAGAGGAAAGGGGAAAAGGCGAUUCCCUGCUACAUCUCUGGUGCCUGCUAAGAAGCCUAAACCUCUUGAAGUGGUAUUUUAUUUGCUCCCAAAACAAAUGGAGAAGACCCCAAAUGAACAUGAAAAAUAUAUCCACACACAGGCAGGAAUGGGUCAAAGAACAGGACAUCUUGAUGAGAGCACAACACAUGAAGAGUUAAAGGAUGCCCUGAAUGAUUUGUUUCCCAAACUGAAGGAGGUAACAGGUGGCUGGCUGCUGUUCAAACCUGGGGGUGUGUAUGAAAUCUGCACUGUGUUAGGAUGCAUUGUCUAAAUUAAACUAGGAACUGAUCCUGCUGUUUAAUAAGUAUUUUUAGGACAAGUUCUGUUUCACUGCAUGUUGUGAAUUCCUAAUACAUAAAUAUAUCUUAAAAGAAAUACUUGUGUUCAUUACUUUAUUUUGGUGAUCUGACAGGGGAUACAGCUAUCGGACAAGGAGUAAUACGUUUUUUCUUAUCAACCUGCAUGGAGAAGCUGAUGUCUGGUUUUUGCAUCAAUUUUGGUUAGUUUGUUUUUGGUUGACGAUACCUAUGUUUGAUGAUCAUUAUAUUGUAUAACUUUUCAUAACUUAAUUAACUGUCAGGUUUUUUUGUGAAAACCUCUGUAUUGUGUGGAAGUAAUCUUUUUUUUUCUUUCUUUUCAUUUAUCUUAUAGCAAAC